UACGGGGGGGGCAAGCGUUGUUCGGAAUUACUGGGCGUAAAGGGCUCGUAGGCGGCCAACUAAGUCGGAUGUGAAAUCCCCAGGCUCAACUUGGGAACUGCAUCCGAUACUGGAUGGCUUGAAUCCGGGAGAGGGAUGCAGAAUUCCAGGUGUAGCGGUGAAAUGCGUAGAUAUCUGGAGGAAUACCGGUGGCGAAGGCGGCAUCCUGGACCGGCAUUGACGCUGAGGCGCGAAAGCGUGGGGAGCAAACAGG
rnacentral:rRNA from 1 species